GCAUAUCAAUAAGCGGAGGAAAAGAAACCAACCGGGAUUGCCUCAGUAACGGCGAGUGAAGCGGCAAGAGCUCAAAUUUGAAAUCUGGCCCCCUCGGGGUCCGAGUUGUAAUUUGCAGAGGAUGCUUCGGGUGCGGCCCCCGUCUAAGUGCCCUGGAACGGGCCGUCAUAGAGGGUGAGAAUCCCGUCUGGGACGGGGUGUCCGCGUCCGUGUGAAGCUCCUUCGACGAGUCGAGUUGUUUGGGAAUGCAGCUCUAAAUGGGUGGUAAAUUUCAUCUAAAGCUAAAUACUGGCCGGAGACCGAUAGCGCACAAGUAGAGUGAUCGAAAGAUGAAAAGCACUUUGAAAAGAGAGUUAAAAAGCACGUGAAAUUGUUGAAAGGGAAGCGCUUGCGACCAGACUCGCCCGCGGGGUUCAGCCGGCAUUCGUGCCGGUGUACUUCCCCGUGGGCGGGCCAGCGUCGGUUUGGGCGGCCGGUCAAAGGCCCCCGGAAUGUAGUGCCCUUCGGGGCACCUUAUAGCCGGGGGUGCAAUGCGGCCAGCCUGGACCGAGGAACGCGCUUCGGCACGGACGCUGGCAUAAUGGUUGUAAACGACCCGUCUUGAAACACGGACCAAGGAGUCUAACAUCUACGCGAGUGUUCGGGUGUCAAACCCGUGCGCGCAGUGAAAGCGAACGGAGGUGGGAGCCCCCUCGCGGGGCGCACCAUCGACCGAUCCUGAUGUCUUCGGAUGGAUUUGAGUAAGAGCGUAAAUGUGGGGACCCGAAAGAUGGUGAACUAUGCCUGAAUAGGGCGAAGCCAGAGGAAACUCUGGUGGAGGCUCGCAGCGGUUCUGACGUGCAAAUCGAUCGUCAAAUUUGGGUAUAGGGGCGAAAGACUAAUCAAACCCUCUGGGAGCUGGUUCCUGCCAAAUUUUC
rnacentral:rRNA from 1 species